rnacentral:rRNA from 1 species
CAGUCGCCGCGGUAAUACGAAGGGUGCAAGCGUUACUCGGAAUUACUGGGCGUAAAGCGUGCGUAGGUGGUGGUUUAAGUCCGUUGUGAAAGCCCUGGGCUCAACCUGGGAAUUGCAGUGGAUACUGGGUCACUAGAGUGUGGUAGAGGAUAGUGGAAUUUCCGGUGUAGCAGUGAAAUGCGUAGAGAUCGGAAGGAACAUCUGUGGCGAAGGCGACUAUCUGGGACAACACUGACGCUGAGGCACGAAAGCGUGGGGAGCAAACAGGAUUAGAUACCCCAGUAGUCCCUGUCUCUUAUAC